CUGGCUCAGAUUGAACGCUGGCGGCAGGCCUAACACAUGCAAGUCGAGCGGCAGCGGGAAAGUAGCUUGCUACUUUUGCCGGCGAGCGGCGGACGGGUGAGUAAUGCCUGGGGAUCUGCCCAGUCGAGGGGGAUAACUACUGGAAACGGUAGCUAAUACCGCAUACGCCCUACGGGGGAAAGCAGGGGACCUUCGGGCCUUGCGCGAUUGGAUGAACCCAGGUGGGAUUAGCUAGUUGGUGAGGUAAUGGCUCACCAAGGCGACGAUCCCUAGCUGGUCUGAGAGGAUGAUCAGCCACACUGGAACUGAGACACGGUCCAGACUCCUACGGGAGGCAGCAGUGGGGAAUAUUGCACAAUGGGGGAAACCCUGAUGCAGCCAUGCCGCGUGUGUGAAGAAGGCCUUCGGGUUGUAAAGCACUUUCAGCGAGGAGGAAAGGUUGGUAGCUAAUAACUGCCAGCUGUGACGUUACUCGCAGAAGAAGCACCGCUAACUCC
rnacentral:rRNA from 1 species